CUCGCUGCACCGCGGCGGCUCUCCUCCACUCGCCGGUGAGCCGAGCAACGGCGCCUGUGCUGAUCACUUCGAUUUGGGCGUCAUGUACACCCAGUUGGCCCAAGGAGCACUCAAGUGGCAGGUCGGAUCUCCCGCUUCAAAGGCGCCCCCCUCCCCCCAAUUCUCUCAUCUUAGAUGCCUUUUAUGUUCCAGUUUUUCAGAGGUUUAGGGCCCUGCAGAUUGAUAUUUGUGGUGGAUUCGAGUACUCAAAACUAUGCACAAAUUGGGUCUGCACCUUUUAGGUGUCAAUGCAAGACUGAAAAGAAAAUCCACCGUUCACUUCAUGGUGAUUUCUGCAAACCGUGUACAACUGAAUCAAUCUCAGUAUUGAAACCAAUUUUCUUGCUGCAUCCGAAGAUGAGUCGGUCGGUGGCUGCAUAUUUCAGACAUCCAGUCUAAUUGGAUGCUACACUUACAUGAGCAUUACAAUGAACCCAGCCUUACAGAAACCAUUGCUCUUACUCUGUUUUAGCUGUGAAAAUGAGCGUUGGCAUGGAAAUGACUUGUGAUAAUUGAUGCAUCUAAGAGCUAUUAUGUCGGUAAGCUCAAAUGGCUACCUAUAGUUUUCUAAAUUGUGUGCAAACUUGGAAUAAUAUUUGCGUAGUAUGGCACACCUAUGGGCAUUGUGAAAGCUACAGGUUAGGCAUGCUAUUUGAAAUGAAUAGAUUGCACCAUGUUGUAGGUUUUAUUGAUUAAUAGCUCCAGGUAAUAUGCGAAACACCAUGCUAUGGAUAUUAUUUGUAAGAUGCUUUCACCCUCUCUCUAAUGUACUUGCAGUAUGAAAUUCCUCACCAAUUUGGCUUCAAUGUGGGAUGAAUGUUGUUUGAUGAUGUUACUGAGAAAGAAUAUGGUGCAUGCUUUGAUGCAGUGAUGGUCACCAUAAAAUCCGAAAAUAAAUGCUGAGCAUCUUUAGCAGAUCAUGGAGUCCUUGACAGUGAAGUACAUGAAGCUUGGGACAAAGCCUGACACAUUCUAUCCCUAACAGAUCGGCAGUUCAUGCUGAUUGCUUCUGCUGAUUGCAAUAUUUGUCGAGCAGUAUUGUAAGGUUUAUCCCAGGAAAACAUUUACCGUAUGUGGUGUAGAGAAUUUGGUUCCACAGCUGUUAUCUCAUACUACUAGAGUGUGCAUCGAUUCACUUCUGGCUGGAAUCUUGUGUGAUUGUUGUCCAUAUAUUUUCGUACCUACUAUAUCUGUGGGGUAGAAGCAGCAUCAAACUACCGUAAAUGACUGCCCAGCCCUUAUACCUGAACUGAAUGCGAAAGGUAUGAGUAAAUCAGUCAUUUCCAGAUUUGUCUCAGAUAUUAAAAAUCUUAUUCUAUCGCUUGCUCAUUGUGUAGUCUCUAAAAGUGAGCUGUCUUGGAAACAGAGUUGCCCAUGAGCUGGCUAGAUUAGGUGGAUCAGUUCCUCCUGAUGUUGAGGAGCUGACUAAGGAUGAUUGUAACCAAAGCUCGGUUUCGUGAUGUAAUACGAGCAAUAGUUAAACAAAAAGUACUGUGUGCCGACUGACUAUCCACUAUUGAUUCAAUUUCCUCCUCAGGCACUGAAUGUAAUAGUAGUAGGUCAGCUUAGUUCUCGUGGCAUGCCAGCAUUACUUUUCUUUCGAAAUGGGGAGUUACUGAGUGUGUAAAACAAGAAAUGACCACGGCUAUAAAUAAGAGAAUCUUUAUCAGAGACUGGAUCUCACUUGGGAAGAGCAGAAGGUUUAAGGUCUCCCAAGACUGAGAUGAUCCAUGCUGUAGCAACUUUACCAAAGACUGGAUCUUGGAAAGAGCAGAAGGUUAAAUACCAAUAGGGAACUUCAUUUUUAAGUCGUACUGUAGGCAUUGUGAAAAGGUGCUUUUGCUCAUAUCCAUGUGAUGCCUGAAUGCUAGAAGCAUUGAGCGUUUGGGAAAAUAUUUCUUCCAGGGUAUAUUGGAUUUAAUCUCUUCUAUAGCCUUCGUUAGUUCCAAGUCAUCACAAGUUGUUAGUACCUUUGAUAAAGGUCUCUCUUCUGGUUGAUCGCACUUUUUUUUAUUAGCUAACAAAAAUAAUGACUCUUAUAAAUGGUUUGAAAAUGUAUGGUCCUAGCGCUGCGGAACACUACAAGAAUUUCAUAUUGCACCAUCACUGCUGACUUUUAUUAUUCA